CCACUGCGCGGGACUGUCGCCGCUCUCCUCCUCAUCUACUCCGCCGCGGAUCCCAAAACGAGGACGCACACCAGGAGAGAAAGGUGCUUUUACGUGGUGCGACGGUUCGUUAAUUACAACUUGUGCCUCCUACUAUGCGACGGUUCGGUCGGACUGUCCUCUACAGCUGGUGUGUUGCCCGCACAGGAAGGUAUACUCGCAGCCCAACCUACAACGUACUACCCACGAGAGGCGUGAUUCAAAACAAACAACAACUUUAAAGUCGAUGCUCCCUUACAAACAUGUCACUGGUUUUAGGUCGCAUGGUAAGAAAAAUAGCUCUUUACGCCAUAGUAAAAAACCGGUACCGUUCUUUUUCGUUAGAAACAAAUCUACUAAGACUAAAACAAAAACGGUAACGGCUAAGGAGAUUUGUUUUAUAUCUUAAUAUCUCGAUCAAAUCUACUAUUUUACCGCACAACGAAUGGUCUUGGUACUGCUCGUCGCUUUCCCUGGUUGUGGUGUUUGCUCGUAGCCUUUGGUACCCGACCAACCGUCCAUAGAGCCUAGUGGGUGGUCAGUAAGUUCGAACCUCUCCUUAUACCAGCACACCCGGGUUUCACGUCCCAGUUCUUUCGUCUUUCUUUCUUUCUUUCCUGCCUCUUUUUCUGACUGGGAGGUGCAAGAAUAGACGUCGGCCAAACGAGGACGAAAGCGAGGCGGGCGGCCGACCGUCGCUUGGCUUAGGCCAUGACCGUCAUGAGAGGCCGCGAUUAGCGUUACUAAAAGCGUCAUCCCCAGAACCGAAGAAGGCGACUAGGAGUAGAUGUUACGGCUGAUAAAUCCCGGCGCGGCGCCAUCCUUCCUUCCCACCCGUGUGUCUGUCUGAGUGACGGUGAAGUGGCGUGGCGAGGGGGGAAAGGGGUGAGAAGAGGUUGGGGGCCUGCCUCCACGAUCGCCUUCACUAGCCUUCGGACGUCAUACCCGUUAGACACGACGACACAAGUUCAACUGGUCAGGUGGCACCGGUAGUCCCUCGUCAAACCCUUCAAACUGUCACACGAACUCGGUCCUACGGUGACGGACGGAACCUAGAAACCCUUUGCACAUCAACCGGUAGAGUGUGAGUCCAACGUCGUCGACCUACACGCGACACUUUGAUUCUGUUUCCUGUUACACAAACAGUGACAACAACGUAGCUAAGUCAUGGCUGGAGACCGACCGUUUCUUUCACUGCGUAUGAUGUUUGACUGGUUGUGUUCUAGGGUCUAAGUUCGGAUACAGAAACUACACUAGUCCCGUUCACAAGGUUUCGAGUUGGACCUACUACGAAAGCACGUCUUCUUGCUAUAUCGUUUCCGACACCUCCUACUUGAACUUUUCCGAUACAGCCGUAUACCGAAACUCUAGCACGUCUGGGAGUAACAGCUGUAGCUCGGUCUACGCGUACAGUUCGUCCGCUACUUACUCUAGUUACGUCGACGUUCCUACUCCCACCGACGUUUGCUCUUCCGCCUCCGACUCUUCUAACAGGUCUAGUUCGCACGGCUCCCACUUCGUCUCCGGUUCAUGGACAGACCGGAGCCAUAGCGGGCGGUCGCGGUCCGGUAACACCUACCGGACUCCCUGUCGCAGGACCCGAAGAGUCAGUUACACGGACCGUGGUGACGUUUCCUACACUACCUGUACCACGACUAGUGGGUCAUGAAGCUAUGAUACUUUCUCUAACCGCGCAGGAGGUUCAGGAGCCGCCACAAGUAGGGGGUACCGGGACCACGCCACGCGCUGUAGCGGUGCGUCUAGGCACUGCCAGAAGAAGUUCCGGUCAGACGGAGACUGUUGAUCGUCAAACGAAGCGGCCGUACUUGAAACUUCGACGACCACCAAACACCAAACGAUCGAUAACGGAUGUCAUGACAGAUUAUACUACGUACGGCAUAAUAAAUACUUGGAUAUACCUUGGUAUACACCUAGCACCGUACGGUACGGAAUCCAACUACACGUCAUUGUUUUGGAAAUUGGAACACACUUACGUCCUACUAUAUUCACACAAUACUUUACAACCACUACUUGAACUAGAUUACGAAAACGGAAUAUCACGACACCAAUGUAUAAAAAGUACCCCUUAAAGAAGACUC
rnacentral:rRNA from 1 species